ACAACACUCCGGAGAAUCUCGGUUACGAGUACCGAAGGGGCAAGAAAGGGUUUUCCUUUUAAUCUCUCAGGUAAAAGUAUGGAG
rnacentral:ncRNA from 1 species